UGGGGAAUUUUGGACAAUGGGCGAAAGCCUGAUCCAGCCAUGCCGCGCGAGUGAAGAAGGCCUUCGGGUAGUAAAGCUCUUUCAGCCGGAAAGAAAUCGCGCAGGAUAAUACUCUGCGUGGAUGACGGUACCGGAAGAAGAAGCACCGGCUAACUACGUGCCAGCAGCCGCGGUAAUACGUAGGGUGCGAGCGUUAAUCGGAAUUACUGGUCGUAAAGCGUGCGCAGGCGGUGAUGUAAGACAGAUGUGAAAUCCCCGGUCUCAACCUGGGACCUGCAUUUGUGACUGCAUCGCUGGAGUGCGGCAGAGAGGGAUGGAAUUCCGCGGGUAGAAGUGAAAUGCGUGGAUAUGCGGAGGAAAACCGAUGGCGAAGGCAGCCCCCUGGGUCAAGAUUGGCGCUCAUGCACGAAAGCGUGGGGAGCAAACA
rnacentral:rRNA from 1 species